rnacentral:lncRNA from 1 species
GAUUAACGGUGGGAAACCUUUAAAUUCUUGUUCUCCAAACUACAUUGAAAUAUAAACCUGUAAAUUUUAAAAUCAAAUUAAUCUUGGACAAGAAGAACCUAUAUACAACCAAACUAACAACUUGUAAUUUUCCAGUAAGCUUAAACAUAAAUCUACAAUAGAUAACCCCAGCAAAUCUCAGCCAAAACCAAGCGAAGUCCAAGAUAUACGACAAACCAACAUUCAAAGACAAGCAAAUAGCUAACAAUUACUUAAGUAUAACAUUCGUGUUCGACUCCUGAACCUUGUACUCAUAUUGAAAUUAAAUUGUCCUCAAUUCAAGAGCACAGAUAUAUCGUUACAUCAUACUGAAGGCAUAUGAAGGCUGAAAAUAGCACGCAUAACUCUAAUCUACUACCAAUAUAUGACUGAGAGCAGGAAGAAAACAAAACAUCAAAAAACUCAAAAAAUUUUUGUAUUCAAUUCAAUUUCUACUACAGAAUCCAUGGGUACAACCAUUUGCCAUCCAUAGUUCAUGAAAUACCUGAAAAAUGAGAAGAAACAAAGUAAGGUAAGCAGAGGUCGAGAAACCGUAGAAAAGUAGCAGAAAUCAGCCCCAGAUCCGAUAGAACAGUAAACCAGAACCAAGCAUCUUCAAACCAAACUUCUAAACAGACUUGAAUCCAAUUUAUAAACUCCAAACUCACAUUGAAACAAGACUACAAAUAUAAGUUCAGCCCAAGAUCAAUUUUGAAAAGCCAAAUUAAACCAUCUUUAACCCAUGUGAAUCACAGAUAACUUUAGAAAAAUAGAAAACCUCAUGAACGAAACCAAAAACCAAUGGAAUAGUAAAUUUUGUGAAAAUUUUCAAUCGCCUUUGAUUUUCUCUGGGAUUUUCUCUUAAAUUUCCCCUUUAGAGUCAAGUUAGGAUGCCUUUAUAAGCAAAGGACUAGGGCAACUGUAGAAUGUUCAGAUUUUACCCUUUUAAAAUUUUCAUUUUAGCUUAGGUAUCCCUAGUUUUAUUUUCAGAAAUCAAAUAGGUCCCCACCCCAGUUUCCUAGAAGCUUCCUACAACAGUUACUAAAGAUUACUCUACCUAGUUUCCCUAAUUUGACCCUUGCAACUUUGUUAAUUACCCAAGAACUUGAAUGGGUUAUGGAUCAAGCUGGCCAAAAAAUUAAGCCAGCAUUGGGCUCAACAAGAACAACUCAGAUUCUUGCCCAUUCGGGCUUUUUAAUUUUCAGAAACAAAAUUCGAGCCAUAAACCACAAUCGAAAAUCUUAAUGGGUUGAACAAGAAAUCUCAGAAGAAAACUAACAAUUCUUUAACAUGAGACCAAAAUUAAAUUAAAAUUAGAAAAAAAGCAGCAAAUUAAUUAAUCUUAAAGAGACAAUCAAACAAACUGAACUUUUAACAAACUAAAGCAUGCAAACAGGUCAGAUAGAAAUAAAAAACAAACAUAUGACAAAGAGGAGAAAAGGAGAUAGAAAAGAGAUUAAGACUUGAGUUAAAACGCAAAAAAAGAAAAGGAAAAUGCAAGAAACACAACGAGAAUUAAGAAUAUCUAACGAUGAACGAAUAAAAUCUCAACUUAUUCUUCAAAAGAUCCUCAAUUUUUGGCCAAAAGAGGCCUUAAUCAUGUGUUCUCGACUGAAAACACAUGAUUAAGGUCGACUUCGCCCUCAAAUUCUUCGAAACCUCGUCAAUCUAACCCUUUUGGGAUUUAGGGUUCAUAUUUUGAAUCAAGAUUCGAACGAUUCUGGGGAGAUUCGAAUAAAACAGAGUGGGGAUUUAGAAUGAGGGGGGCUUGGGGGUUAUGUGGUGUUAAUUUGGGAGUGUUUGGAAUAAGCGCCGCAACCGGUGAUGGUGGAAAUUUUUGGGCGGCGGCUAGGGUUCUAUGAACGCUCUCUGAGAGAGGGAGUUAUAAGAGACAAAAUGG